GCCGAUACGAAGGCAUGACUCUCCAACGAGUCACCUGUACAGCAAGAGCAAGAGCAAGACCGCCAGCCCGCCUCGACCCCUCAGCCCGCCCCAAGGCUCCCUCCAUGGCCUCCUGCAGGGCUUGAGGUGGUCAGGCUCCUCACAGUGCUGCCCCACGCAGUGCCAGGGCAGUGCCACACCUGUAAUCUGCGGCGCCAUGCCCGGACUGAGGGCGCCGCUGGACUAAACCACUACAUGCCUGAGAUGCCCCGCCCCGCCCCAACCCACCAUCAUGACCUACCCGCCCCCCUGGCAUAAAUUGAAACUCCUAAAUGACUGACUCUUCGAUGUCUGAGACGACCCACCCUGCCCUGCGUCAUGACCUCCCAGUAUAAAUUG